AUUGAACGCUGGCGGCAGGCCUAACACAUGCAAGUCGAGCGAGCGGCGGACGGGUGAGUAAUGUCUGGGAAACUGCCUGAUGGAGGGGGAUAACUACUGGAAACGGUAGCUAAUACCGCAUACCAUCAGAUGUGCCCAGAUGGGAUUAGCUAGUAGGUGGGGUAACGGCUCACCUAGGCGACGAUCCCUAGCUGGUCUGAGAGGAUGACCAGCCACACUGGAACUGAGACGCGGUGCAGACGCCUACGGGAGGAAGCAGUGGGGAAUAUUGCACAAGGGGAGGAAGGCUGAUGCAGCCAUGCCGCGUGUGUGAAGAAGGCCUUCGGGUUGUAAAGCACUUGCAGCGGGGAGGCGUUACCCGCAGAAGAAGCACCGGCUAACUCCGUGCCAGCAGCCGCGGUAAUAC
rnacentral:rRNA from 1 species